rnacentral:rRNA from 1 species
UACGAAGGGGGCGAGCGUUGUUCGGAUUUACUGGGCGUAAAGGGCGCGCAGGCGGUUCUGUUUGUCGAGUGUGAAAGCCCCGGGCUCAACCUGGGAACUGCGCUCGAAACGGCGGAACUAGAGUUCGGGAGGGGAGAGCGGAAUUCCCGGUGUAGUGGUGGAAUGCGUAGAUAUCGGGAGGAACACCUGAGGUGAAGACGGGUUGCUGGGCCGACACUGACGCUGAGUGCGCGAAAGCCAGGGGAGCAAACGGG